rnacentral:rRNA from 1 species
UACGGAGGGCGCUAGCGUUGUUCGGAAUUACUGGGCGUAAAGCGCACGUAGGCGGCUUUGUAAGUUAGAGGUGAAAGCCCGGGGCUCAACUCCGGAACUGCCUUUAAGACUGCAUCGCUUGAAUCCAGGAGAGGUGAGUGGAAUUCCGAGUGUAGAGGUGAAAUUCGUAGAUAUUCGGAAGAACACCAGUGGCGAAGGCGGCUCACUGGACUGGUAUUGACGCUGAGGUGCGAAAGCGUGGGGAGCAAACAGG